GAUGAACGCUGGCGGCGUGCCUAAUACAUGCAAGUCGAACGGACAGACGCGGAGCUUGCUCGUCUGACGUUAGCGGCGGGCGUGAUACUAACGCGUGUAUAACCUCCCUGUGAAUCUGUAAUAGCUUCGGUAAACCGUAGCGAAUACCAUAUAAUAUUUUAAGCCGGAUAGUUCAAUAGUUCGAGACGUUGUUGCUGUCACUGAUAGAUGGGUCCGCGUCUGAUUAGCUAGUUGGUAAGGUAACGGCUUACCAAGGCGACGAUGCGUAGCAGAUCUGAGAGGGUGAUCGGCCACACUGGAACUGAGACACGGCCCAGACUCCUACGGGAGGCAGCAGUAGGGAAUCUUGCGCAAUGGGCGCAAGCCUGACGCAGCAACGCCGCGUGCGUGAUGAAGGCCUUCGGAUCGUAAACCUCUGUUAUUCGGGACGAACCGAUGUGGAAGUAAACACGCAGGUAUUGACGGUACCGAAUCAGAAAGCAACGGCUAACUACGUG
rnacentral:rRNA from 1 species